GGUAGAAUGGCUGAAGAUAGGCGAUAAGUUGUAAACUUAUUUAUGGAUGUAUAAUUCUUUUACC
rnacentral:tRNA from 1 species